rnacentral:rRNA from 1 species
GCCGAGCGGUAUUAUUCUUCGGAAUAGAGAGAGCGGCGUACGGGUGCGGAACACGUGUGCAACCUGCCUUUAUCAGGGGGAUAGCCUUUCGAAAGGAAGAUUAAUACCCCAUAAUAUAUUAAGUGGCAUCAUUUGAUAUUGAAAACUCCGGUGGAUAGAGAUGGGCACGCGCAAGAUUAGAUAGUUGGUAGGGUAACGGCCUACCAAGUCAGUGAUCUUUAGGGGGCCUGAGAGGGUGAUCCCCCACACUGGUACUGAGACACGGACCAGACUCCUACGGGAGGCAGCAGUGAGGAAUAUUGGACAAUGGGUGAGAGCCUGAUCCAGCCAUCCCGCGUGAAGGACGACGGCCCUAUGGGUUGUAAACUUCUUUUGUAUAGGGAUAAACCUUUCCACGUGUGGAAAGCUGAAGGUACUAUACGAAUAAGCACCGGCUAACUCCGUGCCAGCAGCCGCGGUAAUACGGAGGGUGCAAGCGUUAUCCGGAUUUAUUGGGUUUAAAGGGUCCGUAGGCGGAUCUGUAAGUCAGUGGUGAAAUCUCAUAGCUUAACUAUGAAACUGCCAUCGAUACUGCAGGUCUUGAGUAAAGUAGAAGUGGCUGGAAUAAGUAGUGUAGCGGUGAAAUGCAUAGAUAUUACUUAGAACACCAAUUGCGAAGGCAGGUCACUAUGUUUUAACUGACGCUGAUGGACGAAAGCG